CCAGGGUCUGAAUCUGGCUUCUCCAUGUCCAGGCUGGGUCACAGGACCAGCCUUGUGGGUGUGUUACAAAGGACCGCUGAAGCACAGGGACAGCACUGGGCCCUUCAUUGACUCAGACCUCACAUCUCCAUCACCUCAUGGAGUCGAUGUUGGGACAUCUAGAUUUGCUGCUGCCCCAGGAUCUGCAGCAGUGACGGGCGUAUACUAGCUUCUCAAUAAAUUGACUUUUCCUGCCUUGAAAGCCAACAAAGCAUGUAUGUGGCUUCACAGCAGCUCUGCGACCAUGACAAGGAGCUAGAUCUACCUGUGCUGCCGGGCAGAGCUGGCUGCGAUGGAGACACAAGCUGUGGAGAGAGAUGGACGUAGACCCCAUUUGUUUCUAGAAAAAAGAGGAAGAAAACUGAAUACCUGAUGCUGUCCUGCACUCAGCACUGGCCCGACGCUUCGUACAUACCAACUCUCCCGGUCCGCACAGUGAGCCUGCGUGGGAGGUGUCAUGCUGGCCCCGCUUCAUGAGCAAACUGAGCUCAAUGGAAAGGUGCCUCUUCUGCCAUUAACUUGCUGCUUGGGAAUCUGGCACCAGCUCCUGUGAUCCUAACAGCAAAUGUGCUCAGCUUGAACUGCCACGAAGCACUUUCCAUCCACGACCACAUCUAAUCCUCAAAGCAACCCAGAGUCCGGUUUGGGAAAAACCCCAGCACCAUUCAAAAGGAGAGAAGGAACGCCAUGGGUUUGAGACUUCCUGCCAGCCGCUCAGCUCCCACUCUGCUCUGGUCACCUCACCUUCCUGAACUUCAUCUGUUUGCUCAGCAAGAUGGGGUGCGAGGGUUGCAGUGAGGACAGAAAGAGGAGAGACUGAGGGUGCGGCACAGCAGGUCCCACACAUGGAAUGCACAGCUGGAAAGAAACAGGAUUGCCGGUCUGGGAUGCUCCUGACCCAGUGCUUGUCCUCGUGUGGAGAGAUUACAGCAGGGGCAGCGGCCACGCCCCAGAUGCCCACCUUCCUUGCUGGAGUCCUGGAUUCUGCUUCCCCUGUAGCCCACUGGAUCACAGGGGAGAGGUGUGCUCCAUCAAAGCCACUCGGCCAGAGGCAGCUGCGUCUGGUCCAAAGCAGGGGCCCGCCCUUGGCUCCACGCUGCCCCACAGCACAUGCCAGGCUGAUGCAGGGCGAUAACCUUUCCUUUAGGAAGCCGUCCACUUACCCUACUAGGUGACGGGUGAUCUGGACCUAUGGUGUUUACCCCCAGCUCCAAUUUUUCCUUCCCCACAAGGACUUGGGAACAACAUGGAGACACAGAAGCCCUUACCUCUGAGGAAAGCAAUAAACUCAGAGUAGCCUUUUG